ACUGCAAGCACAUAUAGUUGACGACUGAUAUUCUCUCGUGUAUAGACACGUGCAGCUUCAGUGAUAUGGUUGUUCAGUCACAAUUGCCGUGCAGAUGACUUGAAACCUUACCUGCACAAAAUAGUGAGUAAAUUAGUCGGGUUUCUACAGGUAAUGUCGCCUUUACCAAUCUACAACACACUCAUUCGUCCACGUGUAUAAGAGUAAAUGACAUAAGCUUUUAACUUGCUGCAUAUUCUAGAGAGGAAUGACAAUGAGGAAAGAAGCAGCUCUUGAAACUUUAGCCUCUUUAGCUAUUUCAUUGCAGGUACUUCGCUUUCAGCGGUUCAAAAAGAACUUCUUUUGUUUAAAUCUCUGGUGUUCUAAACUUCAUUUUCCUGGGAUACUGCAGGAAGACUCUGCUUACAUAUAUGAUUCUAUAAUGCCUUAUCUGAAAGUUAUCUUGGAAACUGCUACUAAAGAUACAAGUCGCACGCUACUUGCCAAAUCCAUGGAAUGCAUUACCAGGGUUACAAUGGCUUUUGGAAAUCAAGCAAUCCAUGGUUAUGUUGAAAAGGUGAAUACAAUUUAUAUCUUUUCAUUAGCACUUAGCAGGCAUUAUAUAAUGUGACACUAUCAACAUAUCUGAAAAUGCAUUUACCUUAUGUGAUGUUCCAUUUUAGGUCACUGCAGUACUCAUUUCACUGCAAGAAACUCAAACAGAGAUAGAAGAUCCAAUGAGGAAAUUUUCAUUACUGGUGUGUUGAUACAACUUAGAAUGUUGUGCAACUUCCAUUUUCUUUUCAGUUUUUGGCUAAUUUACACUUGAUUCUAUGACAGGCAUACGGUAGACUAUGUAAAUGCUUGGGGGAAGAUUUCCUUCCUUAUCUAAGUCUUGCCAUGCCCAUUGUGCUAAAAUCUGCUCAGCUAAGUGUUUCCAAUAGUUCAGAUACAGAUGAUUCUGAUGAUGAAAGGUUGGAUCUUCCUAUAACUUGUACGAAAUUUAAUUUACAUGGAUGGGUGUAGGUAUUAGUACUAUGUAAAGAUGUAGAUGGUUGUGAGUUUUCGUAUUUUUGAAUUUCAUUUCACCAUGUAUUAC
rnacentral:lncRNA from 1 species